rnacentral:misc_RNA from 1 species
UCAUACAAAUCACACAACUUAGGUCUUAAAUGCUCAUGAACCUGGAAGGUUGCAACUGGACCCGAAUCCAUAUUGAUGUCCCAUAACUUGAGAGUCAUGUAGUCACGACUAAGUAUGUGUCGUCCAUCCUUAGCGAAUUUAAUAUCUGAGAUUGAAGCAAUUAUCUCUGUAAAAAAUGAUCUUGAGCCUGGUGCCUCCUGUUCCUCAAACAAUUUAGCAUGAGAGUCGCAUAAAGCUGAUUGCCGUAAAUCAAUGAGUCGGAUUGAGCCUCUUGAACUGCUAUAUGCCAACAUGUUGCAAUGGUUGGGGUGGAAUUCUGCAGAUGUUAUAACCUCUGUUAGAUCCUCCAUAUUUGCAGGUUUCACAUCAACAAUAUUGAAACUUUGAUUGCUAAUUUCCAAGUUCCAAAGAUUGAUUCGCAGGUCAUCAGCUGAUAUAAAUGUUUCGCCAUCACUGUUAUUUGAAAUUGAAUUGAUGUGAUAAUCAUGUGCAUGAGCAUAUACCCUUCGACAUCUAGCCACCAGGCUGGUCUCGUUGCUAGUUACCACAGGCAAGUGCAGUGAUGGGAUGCCCCCAGGUGGAAAAGUGAAGUCAUUGCUUGGGUAACCAUAUGACUUCUCUGGCCAACCUCCAUUUGCAAGAUA